GAUGAACGCUGACAGAAUGCUUAACACAUGCAAGUCGAUGGGGAAGUGGUGCUUGCACCAUGGUAACCAUGGCGGACGGGUGAGUAACGCGUAAGGAACUUGCCUGCGGGACUGGGAUAACAGCAGGAAACUGCUGAUAAUACCGGAUAAGGUCAUUAAGCUGCAUAGCUUAGUGAUGAAAGGAGACGCCUGCGGAGAGCCUUGCGUCCUAUUAGCUAGUUGGAGGGGUAACGGCCCACCAAGGCGAAGAUAGGUAGCCGGCCUGAGAGGGUGGACGGCCACAAGGGGACUGAGAUACGGCCCUUACUCCUACGGGAGGCAGCAGUGGGGAAUAUUGGACAAUGGGGGCAACCCUGAUCCAGCAAUUCUGUGUGCACGAAGACGGUUUUCGGAUUGUAAAGUGCUUUUAGCAGGGAAGAAGGAAGUGACGGUACCUGCAGAAGAAGCGACGGCUAAAUACGUG
rnacentral:rRNA from 1 species